CACUUCUAAGGAAGGCAGCAGGCGCGCAAAUUACCCAAUCCUGACUCAGGGAGGUAGUGACAAGAAAUAACAAUAAACCGGCUUAUGCCGGUUUAAUUGGAAUGAGUACAAUUUAAACAUCUUAACGAGGAACAAUUGGAGGGCAAGUCUGGUGCCAGCAGCCGCGGUAAUUCCAGCUCCAAUAGCGUAUACUAAAGUUGUUGCAGUUAAAAAGCUCGUAGUUGGAUUUCUGUGGGGACGGAGCGGCCGGCCGCACGUCGCGGUUCGAGCUAGCGCUUUCCCUACAUCCUGCCGCGAACCGUGCUACCAUUAAUUUGGUGGCGCCGGGGAUCGGCUCGAUUACUUUGAGAAAAAUAGAAUGUUCAAAGCAGGCCACACGCCUUGAAUAAGUUAGCAUGGAAUAAUAACUAAGGACUUCGGUUCUAUUUUGUUGGUGUUCGGGACUGAAGUAAUGAUUGAUAGGGACAGUUGGGGCGGUCUGUAUUCCAAAGCGAGAGGUGAAAUUCUUAGACCUUCGGAAGACAAACAGCUGCGAAAGCGUUCCGCAAGGAUGUUCCCUUUGAUCAAGAACGAAAGUUGGGGGAUCGAAGACGAUCAGAUACCGUCGUAGUCUCAACUAUAAACUAUACCAGCUAGGGAUCGGCCAACGUUAUUUUAUACCGACUUGGUCGGCACCUUAUGAGAAAUCAAAGCAUCUGGGUUCCGGGGGGAGUAUGGUCGCAAGGCUGAAACUUAAAGGAAUUGACGGAAGGGCACCACCAGCCGUGGAGCCUGUGGCUUAAUUUGACUCAACACGGGAAAACUUACCAGGUCCAGACAUAGUAAGGAUUGACAGAUUGAUAGCUCUUUCUUGAUUCUGUGGGUGGUGGUGCAUGGCCGUUCUUAGUUGGUGGAGUGAUUUGUCUGGUUAAUUCCGUUAACGAACGAGACCCCAGCCUGCUAAAUAGCGCGCAUGAGCUUUGCUCGUGGCGAGCUUCUUAGAGGGACUAUGAUGCGCGAUAGCACAUGGAAGUUUGGGGCAAUAACAGGUCUGUGAUGCCCUUAGAUGUUCUGGGCCGCACACGGGCUACACUGGCGCCUGCAACGAGCAUAUCAGCUGGCCCGAGAGGGUCUUGGCUAAUCUUUUGAACCGGCGCCGUGCUUGGGAUUGACCUUUGCAAUUGUUGGUCAUGCAACGAGGAAUGCCUUGUAAACGCGAGUCAUCAGCUCGCAUUGAAUACGUCCCUGCCCUUUGUACACACCGCCCGUCGCUCCUACCGAUGAAUGUUCCGAUGAAAUUUUCGGAGAGCACCUGUGAACUUGGCUCUGCCUUGCGAACGGGAGGCUCAAAGUCACUUAAAUCUGAACAU
rnacentral:rRNA from 1 species